UUUAAAAAAAAAGUGCAACAUGCUCUAAUAUGCUUUUCUAAGAAGUUUUCAAUGCAAAUGUUCAAACAAACCCUUCAACAAUAUUUCAAAUAAUAAUUUCAUCUUCAAUUGUAGCAUAUUCAACACAUAUAUAUGUAAGAUGGUGAGUUCUUCCAAGACUAAAAAUCCCAAGAAAGGCAAGGAAAAUGUGGUGGAUUCAUCAAAGAAUAAAAAUCCAAACAAAGGCAAGGAAAAUGUCAUUGAGAUCCUAUGUAGUUGUUGCUUGCUAUGUUUGUGUUGUCCAAUUGCUUCUGUAUGUUGUAUCAUUAAAGCACCAUAUAAAGCAUUGAAGUGCAUUUGUUGUGGAUCAAAAAAUCAAAGUGAUUGAAGGUUAGUUAUUCUUCAUAAGAUCUCACAUAUAUAUAGUAAGGUUAAGCUUGUGUAUUUUUUAAGACAAAAUAGAUAGAGUUUAAUUUGUGAAUAGCAUAGAUUUGUAAUUAAAAUAUUAAUUAUUUAUUUACUAAAUUUCCAAAUUUUACAGAAAAAUAAUUAAAAAAAAAAUGUCAAGAAUGGGAUUCGAACCCAUGCCCUUUCGGACCAGUACCUGAAACUGGCGCCUUAGACCAACUCGGCCAUCUUGACUUUUUGUUAUAUUAUUCAUUACUUAAUAUUUAUAUACUUUCUAAUUCCACAAAAUAUUCAUUCUAUUUUUUAUCUUUAUUUUAUAUCUUAAGGACUUAAUGUGUAUAUAUCUAGAGGGUGUUCAGAAAACAUUUUGCAUAAAUAUGCUAUGCCCUUUUUUUUUUUUAAUAAGUUAUGCUAUCUUACUAUAUGGAGACACGUGGUCUAACAAAAUUUGGUUGGGAUUUGCAACUGUUGUUUGUGCACUAGCUAGACUAAUGACAUUAACAAUAGUUGAUUAGUUUUGCUAACUAAAUACUUUAUGACCAUGAAAUUUGAAACUCAAACUUGUGUAACUUUUAAUUUGUGAAUCACAAUAUAACCACUUGUUACAAUUUGAGAAAUUUGCUUAUAAAUUUUUAUUUUUUUUUUAGAAAUCUACGUUUAACGUUUUAAACUCUUGCACUCUUAGAUUAUAAUUAAAAAAAUUUAAUCACUUUUAACAACAAUAAAUUUAUUCGUAAAACUUAAUUUAACUGACAAACGUCGAUAUUAUUAAUCUGAAUAUAAUAUCUCGAGUUUUAACCCAGAACACACAGUUAUGUAACAGUUCGACCUUACCGUUAUCGACACUAUUAAUCAUGACAAUCUUACCCCUUUUUUUUCGUUGGAAAUAGUAAUUUUUUGUCUUUCAUAGAAAUCUAAUCCGGUACCUGUAAGGCAAAAAUCCACUAUUCCUUACAAGUAAAAAAUCUCACAUUAAUUUUACAUUAGAUGAAAAUAAACGUGUUGAGCAACAUAAGAUCCUAGACAUUUUGGACCUUAGUUUGCAAAAAGCUACUAGCAAAUUCAUAUAAGAAGCUAAGAUAAAAAAACAAAAUUGUGCUAAAAUUCCCUUUUUGUGUAUGAAGUUUGAUACUUGGAAUGUAGCAAGUAGAAGAAGGAUCUCAUGCACCACAUCCAGCACCACAUGCAGCACCACAUCCACCUCCAUAAGCCUCUGCAUCUACUUCAGAAUUUCUCUCUUUGGAUACACCACCAGCACAAGAAAAUAUAAUUGAUGAGAUAAUGGAAAAGGUAACUAAAAUUACCCAAAAUAAUACAAAACCAUUAGCAAAUAAACCAAGAUUUAUAUCCAAAUUGUUAAGCUCUCUUAUUUCUCUCACCAUUUAGUCCCUCCCUCCUUAUUGUUUCAAGAGUGAUGAUAAUAGCUAGCACAUGUUAACUUGUGCUUCUUAUAUAAGCCAAAUGACAAUGAGCUAAACUAAAAAAAAAAGUGAAAUGCAAUUUUGUUACCCUAUUUUU
rnacentral:lncRNA from 1 species